rnacentral:rRNA from 1 species
GCGGCGAACGGGUGAGUAACACGUGAGCAACCUGCCCCUGACUCUGGGAUAAGCGGUGGAAACGCCGUCUAAUACCGGAUACGACCCGCCACCUCAUGGUGGAGGGUGGAAAGUUUUUCGGUCAGGGAUGGGCUCGCGGCCUAUCAGCUUGUUGGUGGGGUAACGGCCUACCAAGGCGAUUACGGGUAGCCGGCCUGAGAGGGCGACCGGCCACACUGGGACUGAGACACGGCCCAAACUCCUGCGGGAGGCAACAGUGGGGAAUAUUGCGCAAUGGGCGAAAGCCUGACGCAGCGACGCCGCGUGGGGGAUGACGGCCUUCGGGUUGUAAACCUCUUUUACCACCAACGCAGGCUUCCAGUUCUCUGGAGGUUGACGGUAGGUGGGGAAUAAGGACCGGCUAACUACGUGCCAGCAGCCGCGGUAAUACGUAGGGUCCGAGCGUUGUCCGGAAUUAUUGGGCGUAAAGAGCUCGUAUGCGGCGUGUCGCGUCUGCUGUGAAAGACCGGGGCUUAACUCCGGUUCUGCAGUGGAUACGGGCAUGCUAGAGGUAGGUAGGGGAGACUGGAAUUCCUGGUGUAGCGGUGAAAUGCGCAGAUAUCAGGAGGAACACCGGUGGCGAAGGCGGGUCUCUGGCCUUACCUGACGCUGAGGAGCGAAAGCAUGGGGAGCGAACAGGAUUAGAUACCCUGGUAGUCCAUGCCGUAAACGUUGGGCGCUAGGUGUGGGGACUUUCCACGGUUUCCGCGCCGUACUAACGCAUUAAGCGCCCCGCCUGGGGAGUACGGCCGCAAGGCUAAAACUCAAAGGAAUUGACGGGGGCCCGCACAAGCGGCGGAGCAUGUUGCUUAAUUCGACGCAACGCGAAGAACCUUACCAAGGUUUGACAUCACCCGUGGACUCGCAGAGAUGUGAGGUCAUUUAGUUGGCGGGUGACAGGUGGUGCAUGGCUGUCGUCAGCUCGUGUCGUGAGAUGUUGGGUUAAGUCCCGCAACGAGCGCAACCCUUGUUCCAUGUUGCCAGCACGUAAUGGUGGGGACUCAUGGGAGACUGCCGGGGUCAACUCGGAGGAAGGUGGGGAGGACGUCAAGUCAUCAUGCCCCUUAUGUCUUGGGCUGCAAACAUGCUACAAUGGCCGGUACAAUGGGCGUGCGAUACCGUAAGGUGGAGCGAAUCCCUAAAAGCCGGUCUCAGUUCGGAUUGGGGUCUGCAACUCGACCCCAUGAAGGUGGAGUCGCUAGUAAUCGCGGAUCAGCAACGCCGCGGUGAAUACGUUCCCGGGCCUUGUACACACCGCCCGUCACGUCAUGAAAGUCGGCAAC